CAGGCCUCCCUCUGCUUGGUUCCAGUCGUGGGCAUGAGUGAAGGUCGAUGCUUGAUGGCUUUAAUGCCAUCGGUGGGAAUGUAUUUAAGCAUCGGCCUUCCCUCAUGCCCACGAUGGUCUACAGUCUUGGGUAUGAGUCAGUGAUGAUGCUUGUUUGUUUAGAUGCUUGUGUUGGAACUUGCUUGUUUAGAUGCUUGCGUUGGAACUUGCUUGUUUAGAUGCUUGUGUUGGAACUUGCUUAAGCAACCGACCUGACGAAGUACCCAUGAAUGUUCAACCUAGUAGGGACAUGUCCCUGCGCCCAACGACAUUUUUUGUCGGGAUCGUGGCAAGUCUGCGAUCCAGGGGGUGAUGUUGAGAGCCUGAAGGCAAGGGGGUGCAAACACCAGUCGGCCUUUGUCCCGAUUGCUGAGUGUUAUGUGCUUGAUGUCCAAGGCUUGAUGCUGAUCCUCCAAGUGGGGCUUGUCCCUGCACUAAUGGCUUUUGCCAGGAUCAUGGCGUUUGCUAUGAUCGAAAAAAUGAGGGGGUGAUGUUGAGAGCCGGAAGGCAAGGGGGUGCAAACACCAGUCGGCCUUUGUCCCGAUUGCUGAGUGUUAUGUGCUUGACGUCUAAGGCUUGAUGUUGACCCUCCAAGUGGGGCUUUUUUGUUCCUGCGGUAACGACUUUGUUGGGAUCAUUGUGAUCAAGUUUGGUUGGUUUCGUAUUGUGGUGGGUUUUUUCGAAGCUUCUAUCGUUGUUUUACGCAUCGUGCGGUGCAUCUUGGGGGUUGUUCUGGCUUUUGGUUGCUUGCUUGGGCUUUAUGCUAGGCGGGUGGCUAAU
rnacentral:misc_RNA from 1 species